rnacentral:misc_RNA from 1 species
UUUCCGUAGGUGAACCUGCGGAGGGAUCAUUAUUGAAUAACCGACUUCCGAGCGCUUGCGCUCACCCGAAACGUCGUCCACGCGCAAGUGCCCUCACACACAUCCAUCUCACCCCUAGGUUCACCGCCGCUUGAGUCCCCCUCUAGCUGUUUCGUCGGGGGGCUUACGUUUUCACACAAACUUUUUAUACAGUGUAGCAUUUAUUUUUGGUUUUUGCGAUGAAGCAAUCAAUACAGCUGUCAACAACUGAGCUCUUGACUCACGCAUCGAUGAAGAACA